rnacentral:rRNA from 1 species
AUUGAACGCUGGCGGCAGGCUUAACACAUGCAAGUCGAGCGGGGGAAGGUAGCUUGCUACCGGACCUAGCGGCGGACGGGUGAGUAAUGCUUAGGAAUCUGCCUAUUAGUGGGGGACAACAUCUCGAAAGGGAUGCUAAUACCGCAUACGUCCUACGGGAGAAAGCAGGGGAUCUUCGGACCUUGCGCUAAUAGAUGAGCCUAAGUCGGAUUAGCUAGUUGGGGGGGUAAAGGACUACCAAGGCGACGAUGUGUAGCGGGUCUGAGAGGAUGAACCGCCACACUGGGACUGAGACACGGCCCAGAGUCCUACGGGAGGCAGCAGUGGGGAAUAUUGGACAAUGGGGGGAACCCUGAUCUAGCCAUGCCGCGUGUGUGAAGAAGGCCUUAUGGUUGUAAAGCACUUUAAGCGAGGAGGAGGCUACUCUAGUUAAUACCUAGGGAUAGUGGACGUUACUCGCAGAAUAAGCACCGGCUAACUCUGUGCCAGCAGCCGCGGUAA